ACAAAGUAUAUUUAUUUUAAUAUAACUUGCAAUACUAUUACAUUCUUUGUUGGCCAUAGCAUACUAGUAAUUCAGAUUGAGAUGUACUUUCUACUAAAACUUUAAAAAUUCUAAAUGCACUAUUGUUAAGCAAAUUCUGUCUUUCUACUGCCCUUGAUCAUUUGAGUUUUAUUGUAUGUUCAGGAUAUUAAAUACUAUUAAAUUCUACCUCAUUAGGUACAGCACUACAGCCUAUGGAGACCUAUCUAUCCACCUCAGAGUAAGGAAAUCAACAAAGAUGAUAAACUUCUAUCUUCAUCCAAGUCACUAACAAAAACUACCAUGCAGAAUCAGGUUGAGGAUAAAUCUCCAGAAUAAUAGUAAUAGAGACAGUGUGUAAAGUACUGACAAAAGCAAAAGAUGACAAUUACUAAGCCCUUUUAUGUUCCAGAUUCUGUAUCACACUCCACAACAAACUCCCACAUACCACCCUCGAAAUAUCUACUAAUACUUGUUGAUGUGCUUAUUCACUAAUUCGUUGUUUAAAAGAUUAUUAUUAAGCAUCUAUUAUAUAUGAGUUACUGAGCUACUUGUUAAUGAUAGAAAAGUGAAUAAAAUGUGGCUCCGUUUCUCACAUUACUAGCAGCCAACUGAUUACUCUUCCUCUUUUCUACACACACAGCACAAAAGACACAAUCAGAUGUAUUUGCAGGAUAUAUUUUUUUCCCAUGUAAAACAUUUGCCUGACAUCAUAGUCAUCUUUAGUAAGAAAACUGGGAUAAUUACUCUAAACUUUCUAUUUGGGAAUUUCUGGGUUCCUGGUGCAUUAUAUUAAAUGUUAGAAGAUAUAGAAAAAUAAUUCUCACACCAAUCACCUGUCAUAAUUAAGAUGUGAAUUUAGGCCAGUCAAGUGUUGUCUUAAAGUGGGAUUCCUUGUAUGAAAAAGUAAUACAUACAUAAGAUAAAACAAAAUAUUUUAAAGUGAAAAGUAAACAUCUCUCUUACUACAGAUUCUAAUCCCUUAGUCUUUUUCCCCAGAGACAUUGACUCUCACCAAUUUGCAUAUAAAUCUCUACAAAUAUGUCAUUCAUGUGUAAACAUGUAAAAGUGUAUUGUCUGUGUAUGUACGUGGGGG
rnacentral:lncRNA from 10 species